GCGAGUCUUAAGAGGGCGAGAGUUGCAUGCAGUAGACCCGAAACCGGGUGAUCUAGCCAUGACCAGGUUGAAGUUGGGGUAAAACCCGAUGGAGGACCGAACCGACCCCCGUUGAAACGUUGGCGGAUGAGUUGUGGCUAGGGGUGAAAUUCCAAUCGAACCCGGAGAUAGCUGGUUCUCCCCGAAAUAGCUUUAGGGCUAGCGUCGAGGUAAGUUGCGUGAAGGUAGAGCACUGAAUAUGUGAUGGCCCCAUCUCGGGGUACUGAGCAUAAUCAAACUGCGAAUGUCACGCCAACAUGCUCGGCAGUCAGACAGCGGGUGAUAAGGUCCGUUGUCAAGAGGGAAACAGCCCAGACCAUCAGCUAAGGUCCCAAAAUGUAUGCUAAGUGGAAAAGGAUGUGGAGAUGUACAGACAACUAGGAGGUUGGCUCAGAAGCAGCCAUCCUUUAAAGAGUGCGUAACAGCUCACUAGUCGAAUGACUCUGCGCCGAUAAUUUACCGGGGCUAAGCAUACUACCGAAGCUAUGGAUCCCAAGGGAUGGUAGGGGAGCGUUCCAUGAACGGAGAAGUACGACCGAAAGGACGUGUGGAGAUCAUGGAAGAGAGAAUGCCGGUGUGAGUAGCGGAACGUGGGUGAGAAUCCCACGCACCGAAAACCCAAGGUUUCCAGAGGAAGGUUCGUCCGCUCUGGGUAAGUCGGGACCUAAGGCGAGGCCGAAAGGCGUAGUCGAUGGACAACAGGUAGAGAUUCCUGUACCCGUAUAUAUGUGAAGGAAUGACGGAGAGAGGAAGCUGCAGCCAGCGGCUGGAAGAGCUGGUGCAAGCGAGAUAUCGGGAUGGCAGGCAAAUCCACCAUCCGAAACGAGAAGGCGUGAAGCGUACGGAAAGCUACGGCGAGUACGGAAGGCAGUGGAGGAACUUCCAAGAAAAGUUUCUAACGUUAAGUAUAUAUGGCCCGUACCGAAAAUGGACACACAUGGGUGAGGAGAGAAUCCUAAGGUGAGCGAGAGAACUAUAGCUAAGGAACUCUGCAAAAUGACUCCGUAACUUAGGGAGAAGGAGUGCUCAUAGAGAUAUGAGCCGCAGUGAAACGGCCCAAGCGACUGUUUACCAAAAACACAGCUCUCUGCUAAGCCGCAAGGCGAAGUAUAGGGGGUGACGCCUGCCCGGUGCUGGAAGGUUAAGGGGAGGGGUUAACGCAAGUGAAGCCCUGAACUGAAGCCCCAGUAAACGGCGGCCGUAACUAUAACGGUCCUAAGGUAGCGAAAUUCCUUGUCAGGUAAGUUCUGACCCGCACGAAAGGCGUAACGAUUUGGGCGCUGUCUCAGCUGUAGACUCGGUGAAGUCUUAGUACCUGUGAAGAUGCAGGUUACCCGCGACUAGACGGAAAGACCCCAUGGAGCUUCACUGCAGGUUGAUAUUGGGAUUUGAUGCAGCAUGUACAGGAUAGGUAGGAGGCAAAGAGAUGGAUACGCCAGUAUUCAAGGAGCCGCUGUUGGGAUACUACCCCUGUUGUAUUGGAUUUCUAACCGGACGACGUAGAGCCGUUGACGGGACAGUG
rnacentral:rRNA from 1 species